rnacentral:ncRNA from 2 species
GUAAGCGAUGGGGAUGGGGUUCCCCCGAUAACCGCCAUUGUGGCUGAUGACUCCUACGAUAGC